ACAAUUUAAAACCAAAAAUAUUUUAGGUCUGAGAAACUCCCAAGUGAAGAGGGGUGCUGCCAUUUACAUUCAUUUGGAUGGACAUAUGGUCUGGUUUGGUAUGAAGAUGCAUAUACUUACAUCAUUAAAAUCCCUCAAUGCCUAUAUAAAGUUAAAUUUUAUAAAACAGAUACAUAUUUAGUGUCCUCUCUAUGCAGACUUUAUAAUAAUGGAUGUCUCCAAAGAGAAACAGCAUUUUGAAGCAGUGUGAAUAAUAUGGACUUAGAAAUUUUUUUUCCUUUAAAAAUCAAACUUGAUUCCAAUUGGAUGAUUAUACUUCAAUGCAUUUCUGUGUGUUCAGAUGUGGCUAACAUCUUCCAGUGGAGUCAUAAGGGAAUACACACACCAGGACAACCAGAAGAGAAUGAAACCUUAAAAUACCACUUUCCUGGAGGAUGCAGUUGA
rnacentral:lncRNA from 1 species